AGAGUUUGAUCAUGGCUCAGGAUGAACGCUAGCGCAGGCUAAUACAUGCAAGUCGAGGGGCAGCACGAUCUUCGGAUUGGUGGCGACCGGCGCACGGGUGCGUAACGCGUAUGCAACCUACCCUUUACUAUAGGAUAGCCCGGGGAAACUCGGAUUAAUACUGUAUGGUAUCAUUUGAUGGCAUCUGAAGAUGAUUAAAGAUUUAUCGGUAAAGGAUGGGCAUGCGUGACAUUAGUUAGUUGGUGAGGUAACGGCUCACCAAGACGAUGAUGUCUAGGGAUUCUGAGAGGAUGAUCCCCCACACUGGCACUGAGAUACGGGCCAGACUCCUACGGGAGGCAGCAGUAGGGAAUAUUGGUCAAUGGGCGAGAGCCUGAACCAGCCAUGCCGCGUGCAGGAAGACGGCCUUCUGGGUUGUAAACUGCUUUUAUCAGGGAACAAAAAGGCCAUGCGUGGCAAAUUGCGUGUACCUGAAGAAUAAGCACCGGCUACUCCGUGCCAGCAGCCGCGGUAAUACGGAGGGUGCAAGCGUUGUCCGGAUUUAUUGGGUUUAAAGGGUGCGUAGGCGGCCUUAUAAGUCAGUGGUGAAAUCCUUCGGCUCAACCGGAGAACUGCCAUUGAUACUGUAAGGCUUGAGUACAGACGAGGUAGGCGGAAUUUAUGGUGUAGCGGUGAAAUGCAUAGAUACCAUAAAGAACACCGAUAGCGAAGGCAGCUUACUAGACUGUAACUGACGCUGAGGCACGAAAGCGUGGGGAGCGAACAGGAUUAGAUACCCUAGUAGUCC
rnacentral:rRNA from 1 species